rnacentral:lncRNA from 1 species
GAAUAGAGGAAGAGUUUGGAUGUAGAUCUGAAUCCUGGUUUAUGAACUUUUUCCACCUAGAUCUCAAGGUAGGGAGUAAUGAUUUUUAAAUAAUAGAUGUAAUAUAAGGAAGAAGCAAAGAAUUUCCCUUCCAAGCUGUCACACAUAUGGUCAGGCAGUGACAGAUGAGGGAGGGAACAACUGGGACCUUUUACUUUCUAAUUUUGAUUUUGUAUUAAAACACAGAACAUCAUCUGAAUCUCACCUGCAGAUCUGUACUAAAGGAUGAGCCAGAGACAGAAUCACUGGGAUCUGCUCUUUGAACUGGGCUCUGCAGAAAGAAAGUUGCAGAUAUUGAACUUCAAAGCAAGAGAUAACUGAGAGAAAUAAAUGUUCCAAAUGGUGGAGUGUAUUCUGUAAGCACUUGGGAGACCAGCCUUAGUGAGAGACUGGAACAGAAACUGCACUGAAGUGAAAUAAUUGCUCAAGGGGUUGAUGUAUUUUCUGCAGGCACUCAUACGUCACCAGAGUUCUCUGGAAAUGGUUUGAAUUGCUUGUCUUCCAGACAUUUGGCAGAAAUCACAUGGAGAUGUGGGGGUGUUACAUCUGUUCAUGGCUAAGGAUGGCCUUCAGAAGAAGAUUUUUACUUGCCUUCUCAAAUCAUUUGGAGUUACAUCUGCUUCUUUGCAAGGAUGUUUCUCAUCUGGUGGAAGAAUUCAUACUGAAGCAAGAGACAGAAGCCUGGAAUCUUUAUUUGAUAUCAAAAAGUAAUGCUGGAAAAACUGCACUGAGGAAAGAGUCUUCAGAGACAUUU